rnacentral:rRNA from 1 species
UACGGGGGGGGCAAGCGUUGUUCGGAAUUACUGGGCGUAAAGGGCUUGUAGGUGGCCAACUAAGUCAGACGUGAAAUCCCUCGGCUUAACCGGGGAACUGCGUCUGAUACUGGAUGGCUGGAGUGUGGGAGAGGGAUGCGGAAUUUCAGGUGUAGCGGUGAAAUGCGUAGAUAUCUGAAGGAACAUCAGUGGCGAAAGCGACUUCCUGGACCAAUACUGACGCUCAUGUGCGAAAGCGUGGGGAGCAAACAGG